rnacentral:pre_miRNA from 11 species
AUGCCACCGAUGUGUAUGGUUCCCAUCGGCUGUAACAGCAACUCCAUGUGGAAGCAGUCCGGCCGUUCCAGUGGAGCGGCUGUUAUAGUCGGUGGGGGCUGCAAAAGACCCCGGGAGAU